rnacentral:lncRNA from 1 species
GGAGGCAAGCCAGUAAAGAACAUCCCUCCAUGGCCUCUGCAUCAGCUCCUGCUUCCUGACCUGCUUGAGUUCCAGUGCUGACUUCCUUGGUGAUGAACAGCAGCAUGGAAGUGUAAGCCAAAUAAACCCUUUCCUCCCCAACUUGCUUCUUGGUCAUGAUGUUUGUGCAGGAAUAGAAACCCUGACUAAGACAAAUUGGUACCAGCAUAGUGGGGUAUUCCUGUGACAACCUGACCAUGUUUUGGGGAGGUCUGUGGAAGGACUUUGGAACUUUGGUCUUGAAGAUCCAUUCGUUGUUAAGAGCUCUGUGGGAUGUUGUGUAGGAGCUUGGAAGAUAAUGUUGAGAACAGUGCAGAAGAUGGAGAUCUGGUUUGUGAAAUUUCAGAGGGAAAAUUAAAGACUCUUUUCAAGGACAUUGCUGUUUUGAUUGUGAAGAUUCUGUGGUUCUGGUUAGCUGGGGCUGAAGAAUCAGCUGUGAUUAACAAGAUACCAGAACUACUAAAGCAAAAACUUGGCAUUACUGGGACUAUUGAUGCUGGUUAGCUGGAGCUAAGAAAUUAGCGGUGAUUAAGAAGAGACCAGCAUCAUUGAGGUGACAUCUUCUGGGAAGUGUUUUCUGAAAGCACAAAGAGGCUGUGUUCCAGAGAUGGCCAAGGUUGUACUCCUGCUGCAGUGGGACUUGGUAAUAUGUAAGGGUCACCCAGGUGGUACUGGUUUUGAAGGCAUGAAGGGGUCACGCAAAGCAGCUGAGGCUUGGCACUGUGAGAGGCCAUGGAAGGCCAUUGGUGAAGGUGCAGCCUCAGUUGCAAUUGAAGGCCCAGGACUGAAGGGGUCAUGCAGUGUUUUGGAGAUGCCAGUACCAUGAGAUGACCACCAAGAGCAGCAGCAGCAGUGGAGUACAGGCAUCUGGAGCCUAGAGGAUGACGCGUGUGCUACAAAGGGCAUGGCUGGAGAAGUGACCCAAGCCCUUGGAGGAGCCCAGAAGAUCGUAAGUUGGAUCCCAGACAUUGGAUGGUUGGAAACUGACUUUUGCUUUUGAUUGUGGCUGUGCCCUGAUAUUUUCCCUCUUGAAGGAAGAAACUGUUUUAGUGGAGCCCACAGUUAAGAGACUUUUAAUUGUAAAAAGACUUUGGAUUUUAAAAGAGAUGGAUAUUUUAAAGAGAUUGAAAUUUUAAGAAUAUGUAAAGACUGUGGGACUUUUAAAGUUAUUUAGAUCUUGGGGAUGAAUAAGAAUGUAAGGGUUGAGGCUUACUAGUGAUGUAUUUGUGUGUCAAGUUGACAAGGGGUCAAUUUUACUGGCUAGUUUUGUGUCAACUUGACACAGCUGGGGCUAUCACAGAGAAAGGAGCUUCAGUUGAGGAAAUGCCUCUAUGAGAUCCAACUCUAAGGCAUUUUCUCAAUUAGUGAUCAACGGGGAAAGGCCCCUUGUGGGUGGGACCAUCUGUGGGCUGGUAGUCUU